rnacentral:rRNA from 1 species
GACGGAGGGUGCUAGCGUUGUUCGGAAUUACUGGGCGUAAAGGGCGCGUAGGCGGCCGCUUAAGUCGGGUGUGAAAGCCCGGGGCUCAACCCCGGAACUGCAUCCGAGACUGGGUGGCUGGAGACCGGGAGAGGAGAGUGGAAUACCCAGUGUAGAGGUGAAAUUCGUAGAUAUUGGGUGGAACACCGGUGGCGAAAGCGGCUCUCUGGCCCGGUUCUGACGCUGAGGCGCGAAAGCGUGGGGAGCAAAC